rnacentral:rRNA from 1 species
UACGUAGGGGGCAAGCGUUAUCCGGAUUUACUGGGUGUAAAGGGAGCGUAGACGGCGAUGCAAGCCAGAUGUGAAAGCCCGGGGCUCAACCCCGGGACUGCAUUUGGAACUGUGUGGCUGGAGUGUCGGAGAGGCAAGUGGAAUUCCUAGUGUAGCGGUGAAAUGCGUAGAUAUUGGGAGGAACACCAGUGGCGAAGGCGGCCUGCUGGACGAUGACUGACGUUGAGGCUCGAAAGCGUGGGGAGCAAACAGG